rnacentral:lncRNA from 1 species
CUGCCCCUGGCCAGGGCAUCCACUCCCUGUGGACAAGUCACAGAGCAGGAUGAAUCGCAGGGCUAUUUGGGAUCAGAGCCUGGAGUCUGCUGCUGAGGUGACUGAGAUCUGUCCCCACAACACAGGCACCUGCCUCAGGCCAGACAGGUGGAGAGGGCCUCACCUGGCGUGACACGCAGGCAGCACUCUCAUGCCCUGCCUUCUGAUGGCAU